CCCUACGGGGCGCAGCAGCCGCGAACAUUUCACAAUGUGGGAAACCAAGAAGGGGGAAUUCCAAGUGCACGUAAUAAGUACGUGGUGUUUCUCUGUAAAAAAAACAGGGAGAGUAAGGGCUGGGUAAGACGGGUCCCAGCCGCCGCGGUAAUACCCGCAGCCCAAGUGGUGCUCGUUAUUAUUGGGCCUAAAACGUCCGUAGCCGGCCGUCAAAUUCAUGGGAAAUCGGAGGGCCAAACCCUCGGAAGGGCGGGACCCUCCAGACUGA
rnacentral:rRNA from 1 species